UAACAAAACUAUCAAAAGCAGCUAUUUCAUCAACUUUGUUUAGUAUAUAUAUCGCCAAGCAACCUUUCUAAUUGCUUGUAAUACAUGUAACUCAACAUUUGAAGAACAAAACCAAUGAAACAAAGACUAUAUAGAACAAAAAUUCCUUCGCCAUAAAGCAGAAGGCAAGGAAUACAUCCAAGAGAAACUUAAAAAAUAAAAUAAAUAAAUAAAUAAAAAGAGAUAAUAUAAGAGAGGCGCUGCCUCUCUCGCCUAGCGCCUCCUCGCUGUGGGGAGAGAGGCGCUUGCCUCUCUUAUCCCAAGCAAGGCACUGCGUGGCGCCUCGCCCGACGCCUUUUGGCGCCUCGCCCGACGCCUUUUGGCGCCUCGCCCGACGCCUUUUGGCGCCUUUAACAACACUGUUCCCAAGAAUACCCAUUUCCAAAUUUGAUAGCUAAGAGAAAGUAAUGAGAAAAGGCCAAAUUUCCAAUUUUGUUAUUUUUGAACAAUAAAACUAAAGCUUCUGCUCAACAAUCUAGUAGUAAACAAUUUGACUAUUUUGAAUAAGUUUUUCAGUCCUUCAUGAAUACAAAGGAUGUGGAGAAAAAGAUGAAAAUGUU
rnacentral:misc_RNA from 1 species